AAAUAGGGCUUCUGUCCUGAAGUGGCACAUGUAAGGCACCUCUACUGCUCUACACGCAGAAUCAACAUCAAGAUAUUUCAGAAGUGUAAUUUUUGUUUCCAGGGCAGCUGGUUUCAUUGGUCUCCCCU